CUGGCUCAGGAUGAACGCUGGCGGCGUGCUUAACACAUGCAAGUCGAACGAAGCGAUUUGGCGGAAGUUUUCGGAUGGAAGCUGGAUUGACUGAGUGGCGGACGGGUGAGUAACGCGUGGGUAACCUGCCUCACACUGGGGGACAACAGUUAGAAAUGACUGCUAAUACCGCAUAAGCGCACAGGACCGCAUGGUCCGGUGUGAAAAACUCCGGUGGUGUGAGAUGGACCCGCGUUUGAUUAGCUGGUUGGUGGGGUAACGGCCUACCAAGGCGACGAUCAAUAGCCGACCUGAGAGGGUGACCGGCCACAUUGGGACUGAGACACGGCCCAAACUCCUACGGGAGGCAGCAGUGGGGAAUAUUGCACAAUGGGGGAAACCCUGAUGCAGCGACGCCGCGUGAGUGAAGAAGUAUUUCGGUAUGUAAAGCUCUAUCAGCAGGGAAGAAAAUGACGGUACCUGACUAAGAAGCCCCGGCUAACUACGUGCCAGCAGCCGCGGUAAUACGUAGGGGGCAAGCGUUAUCCGGAUUUACUGGGUGUAAAGGGAGCGUAGACGGUAAAGCAAGUCUGAAGUGAAAGCCCGGGGCUCAACCCCGGGACUGCUUUGGAAACUGUUAAGCUAGAGUGCUGGAGAGGUAAGCGGAAUUCCUAGUGUAGCGGUGAAAUGCGUAGAUAUUAGGAGGAACACCAGUGGCGAAGGCGGCUUACUGGACGGUAACUGACGUUGAGGCUCGAAAGCGUGGGGAGCAAACAGGAUUAGAUACCCUGGUAGUCCACGCCGU
rnacentral:rRNA from 1 species